GGUUGGAUGGCCGAGCGGUCUAAGGCGCCAGACUAAGGAUCAGCUUCUUCAGUGGAGCAACACUUGCCAGGGUUCACACCCAGCAAUCUGGUCCGAAAGGGCGUGGGUUCGAAUCCCACUCCAAUCA